rnacentral:rRNA from 1 species
UACCAGCACCCCCGAGUUGUCGGGACGGAUUAUUGGGCCGUAAACGACAUCCGUAGCCUGUUCUGCAAGUCCUCCGUUAAAUACCACCUGCUCAACGGAUGGGCGUGCGGAGGAUACCGCAGAGCUAGGAGGCGGGAGAGGCAAACGGUACUCAGUGGGUAGGGGUAAAAUCCAUUGAUCUACUGAAGACCACCAGUGGCG